CUCUUAUUCCAGGGAGGUGUCUUUGUGCGGCUGCCGGUUCAAGCUCGGAAUCAUCAGCACGACUGCACCAAGCUCCGCCUCCAGCCAAAGAACCUCCUCCCCUCCCGCCGGACGAGCUUCUCCUACACGCCCUACUUCCACCGACCUCCAUCGCUCUCUACCCCGAGGAGGAAUUAAUCCAAGUGGCGCCAUUCACUAAGGUUGUUGUCUAUAAAAGGAGGAGGAACCAAAUUAAUGUAUUUGUCUGCCAAUGAAGCUAGUGUUUGAAAAAAUAAAAUGUACUUACCUGCAUAUCUAGGAGCAUCAGAUAACGGCAUCAGUGCUGGUGGAUUGCGGGCUGGGCUCAGUGCUGGUUCAACCAACUCGCUCGAUUAGACACCACCAGUUGUAGAGAGUUACUCUAUCAGCUAACAUGGGGGCAUGUGGAGCAAUUCUGCAAGAUAGUACUGGCAUGUUCAUUGCAGCAGCGACACCUAAGCUUCAUCAUGUAGAUGAUGUUUGUCGGCUGAGGCUGCAGCUCUGGUGGAGGGUGUGAAGCUUGCAAAUACAGCUGGUUGUAAUGCAAUCCGGGUGCAAUCGGACUGCAUGGUUCUUACAGAAACUCUGCAACAAAACGCGGGGCAUUCGAUGGUGCCAGGCCCAAUUCUGGAGGAAUACCUGUUACUUUUAGUUGGAUUCGGGAAGGUCGCUUUAGAGCAUUUGUAAUCGUGAUUCUAAUAUGGUAGAUCAUGUGCUAGCGCAGAAUGGUCGUGUUGAUCAACCAAACUUGCGGUUGGACUCACCUCUUGCUUUUAUUUUUUAACUUUUAAUGGAUGAUGUAAUCGGUGCUUAAUAUUAA